rnacentral:lncRNA from 1 species
CGUCAGGCCAUUCCAGACUCGUGUGUGGCUGCUUGCGCAGCUGCUCCGUGCCAGGCUUGGAGGACCAGGAGAAGGGGUAGUCACUUGCCACAGCUGGAGGCUGGAGCGUGUGGCACCACGGCUCGCCUCGCUGUGGUGGGUGCUGGCGACAGAGACGGCAGCUCGGCUGGACUGCUCUGUUUUUACCCUUUCUCCGGGCUGUUAUUGUCAUACAAAUUACAUCUUUAUACAUGUUGUGCUGAACAACAAGUCGAUUUGUAGGUGUUUCUUUGUGAAGUUAUCCUCUAAAUCAGAUUUGCUGAGAUUUGUUUUGUGGCCUAACAUCUGAUCUACCCUGAAGACACUUCCAUGUGCUGAUGGGGAGAAUGCAUACUCUUCAACUGUUGAGUGGGAUGUUCUGUGAAUAUCUGGUAAAAAAACUGAGGCUUAGAAACAUUGAAAAAAACUUGCUCAACGUUGCAAAACAAGAAAUUUGUGACACUGGAAUUGACAUCUACAAGGGACUGAUGUAACUAAUUGCUGGAUACAUGUCCCUCAAAGACACAGAAACAGAUCUUGUAUUCUAGUGGAUCUCCGGCACCCAGUGAGGGCCUGAAACAGAGUACAUGUCCAACAAAUAAUUAUUGAAGUAAAGAUUGACAUUUCAGGAGCAGAGAUUAAUAUUCAAAAACAAAGAUGAGAAUUUUGGCAGAAAAGUCAAAAUGAGGUUCCAACGUGGCUCAACAUGGCAGUUGCUGAUCCUGACUUUGCUUAAAAUUUGUCCAGGAAAUGUAUUUGUGGGCCAUCCUACAGAAGUUAUAAUGAAUGGAAAAACGUGAAGAACCUUCUAUUCUCCCAAGGAUAUCGUGAGGGAAUCGUCACUGUAUCUGGAAGCCAGAUGCCAAAGAUGUUCAGUUAUUAUCAAUGUAUCUAUGCAUAAAGGAUUGAAAAUGAUUCUUCAUGCCAUAAUUUAUCUAAAUAUUCAUUCCUUUGGAACACUGUUUUCCACCAAUAGUAACAAGACUUGGAACAAAAUAAAAUAGCAAUAUCAUGUGCAUUU